CCCUUCUUUAAAAGAAAGGAACGGAAGGCUUCGGCCAAUACCCGUCCCUUGUUUUUCCUCGUCUCCUCGCUCGCCGGAGCUGCGAUCCCACGACGGGUGUGCCAUAUAAGGGCUAUUAUGUGGCGUGCUGGGGCGAAGCUCGCUGCUCUCACCCUUCUUGGUGGAGCAGGGGCCGUGGCCAUCGCUACGUCUGACGAUCCCUCAAGCACUUUCAAGAUUUGCACUAUCGUUCCCCUUCGCCUCAAAAGGAAAGGAACGGAAGGCCUCGGCCUAUACCCGUCCCUUGUUUUUCCUCGUCUCCUCGCUCGCCGGAGCUGCGAUCGCACGACGGGUGUGCCAUAUAAGGGUUAUUAUGUGGCGUGCUGGGGCGAAGCUCGCUGCUCUCACCCUUCUUGGCGGAGCAGGGGCCGCAGCCAUCGCUACCUCUGACGAUCCCUCAAGCACUUUCAAGAUUUGCACUAUCGUUCCCCUUCGCCUCAAAAAGAAAGGAACGGAAGGCCUCGGCCAAUACCCGUCCCUUGUUUUUCCUCGUCUCCUCGCUCGCCGGAGCUGCGAUCCCACGACGGGUGUGCCAUAUAAGGGCUAUUAUGUGGCGUGCUGGGGCGAAGCUGGCUGCCCUCACCCUUCUUGGCGGAGCAGGGGCCGCAGCCAUCGCUACCUCCGACGAUCCCUCAAGCAAUUUCAAGAUUGGCACUAUCGUUUCCCUUCGCCUCUUCCGCGACUCCAUCACCGCUGCUACCAUGGCCUUCGACUAUCAGUAUUCAUUAUGGGGGCUUAAAGAAGGAAGUAAUGAAUGGUUGAGAGCCAAGCAUGAAGUCCAUAAUCGGUUUGCUUAUAGGCUUCAAGAGUUAUGCUUCCAUAAUGGAGGAAUUUACAUCAAGCUUGGUCAACAUAAUUGGUCAAUUGGAAUAUGUAGUUCCUCAAGAAUAUGUACAAACAAUGAGGGCCUCAAUGCUGAAGAGAUGUCCAGUUUCCUCUUGUGAUCAAGUGCGAAGUGUAUUUGUGAAAGAGCUUGGGGAGCCACCAGAGAAAGUCCGUUUGGUUACAUUUCCUUUUUCAAGUUUAUCUUGCAAAAAACUAGAGAAAAGUAUAUUUUUCUUUAUUAUCUAUUUGUGCUGAAAUAAUGAAUGUUGCUGGUAGGUUGUCUUCUGAGCUAUGCAAGGGCUUAAUUAUGUUAAUGUCCGGGUUCAACACACUCACUUGACGGAUACUUGCACCACAGAUAUUGCUACUGUGGGUUUGGUAGCGAAUUUCUUGCACUGGUUCUUUCCUGCUUUUGAUUAUAGGUGGUUGGUUGAUGAAAUUCGGGAAAGUGCACCUAAGGCAAGUUUACUUUGAUUUCUACUUGAUCUUUCUAUACUAGUUUUUAGUGUUGGCAUAUAUUUGCAUGCUUGCAAUGAAGCAUGAAUGUUGUAACUCUUUAUGUACUGAUGGGAUGCAUGCAUGAUUUUCUUCAUCAUUUUUGGGCCCCUUAAUGUCUUAAUGUCGGACAUUCUCUCUGUGUGUAUAUUCACAUACGGAAGAUGUUUAUAUCUGCAUUCAGGUGACUUUUGUCCUAAUGAUUAUUUUUUUUAAUUGUUGUGAUGAUGCUUACUUUCUUCUCCCUUGUGCUUUGAGCUUUGUUUUGUGUACUGACUGCAGCUAUCAUUUUAAUGAGGACAUAGUUCAAAAUGUUUGUAUUUGGCUGACAUCUAAUGUAUCCUUUGACAACACAUCCUUUUUAGAAGAAUAUAAAUUCCUUUUCAUUUUACUCUAGAAAGGUGGACAUGGUACUUUGGUAAUUGUGGUUGUUAUUAUAGCAGUGUGCUUCUUUCUGUUUGCACUGAAGUUGAAAUUGUGAUGUAAGACUAAUUAUGGUUGGCCUACAAAGGCAUAGGUGGACCAAAGGAAUUAGGCAACGGUUUAGGUCAAGAAAUCUCCCUGUUGUUCUAUUACAGGAAGGAUGUUUUUUUGAAGAUUGUAAAAUUCAGGCCUGCCAAAAAAUUAUUCUAAUCUCAAUUCCCUUUAUCUGAUCUUUAUCCUGAUCUGUUUUCCAUCACUCUGGAUGAAUAUGCUACUGUGUCUCCUCCUGUUCAAUGGUCUAAUGGUGUUUCUCAUUUGCAUCUUUUCUUUUGAAGGACAAUUGGUGAUUACUUAAUUUUGCAACGCUCUCUGAUUUGUUAUCUUCUCUUUCACAAUUCAACCCUUCUUCAUCUGGAUAAAGCUCAUUAGAGAUGGUCUUCCGAUGGAUCUUUCACUGUCAAUUCUUACUACAGAUUUCUAAACUUUGAUAGUCUGGUCAAGAAGGAAUUCUCUUCGAUUUAGACAUCUGUUAUUUCUCUUAAGGUUAAAAAUUUCAAUUGUCUGGCUGUUAAUGAUAAAUUAUUGAUUGCUGAGAAUCUCUUGAAUAGGCACUAGGAAUUUUCCUCUAAUUGUGAUCUCUGCAAGGCCAGAGGAAAAUGGGGUUCACUAGUUCUCUAGGUGCCACCAUACUAGAGGAUUGUUGAAAUUCUUUAAAAACAGGUUAUCUAUAAAAGGUUUGUCUGGUUCGCUAUCUUCUACUUAGAAAUCUUGUAGAAAUUCUAGAAUUGAAAGGUCCCUCAGUAGGGUGAAAACAGAUGUUAUCCAUAUCUGUGUCCGUUUAAUGUCUGUAUCUACAUUUAUAUUCGCUGAAAAAAAUAUGGAUACAAAUAUGGAUAUAUUAAUAUCUGAUCCAGCUAUAGAUACAAGUUGAAUGUUAGUUAUAUUCAUAUUUUUUAUCCGAAUAUGGAUAUAAGUCUGAUUUUUUUGGAUAUAAAUUGGAUCUUGGGUGGAAUUCAAUAAUGAAAACCAACAUAAGUGACUGCACAUGAUGAGAAUAAACCGGCAUUAUCUAUCUAGAUUGCAAAUGAUGCAUGGGUAUAGUUCCUAAACCCUCAUGGAGACCGACCUGGUCAAGGGUUCAAGUCACUAGUCUAACUAGAUUUGCAUUAAAAUAAAAUAUUAAUUUUUUACAUAUAUAACUUUGAUAAAUUUAAUAAUGAUAUUGGCAAUGUAAAAAUGUUAAUAGAUUUUAUAAAUUUUCUACAUCAACCAUUACUCUUUAAUUGCAACAAAUAUAAAAGAUAAUCAUGAAUUAUCUAUUUCUUGAGAGCUUGUAAAUAAAAUAUAUGUAUAAAUAAUAAAAUGAUAUAUAUUCAUUCUUUCAUUUUUAUCAAGGGAAAAGGAUUGAUAGU